rnacentral:lncRNA from 1 species
GGAGGAGCCAAGAUGGCCGCAUAGGAACAGCUCCAGUCCACAGCUCCCAGCGUGAGCGACGCAGAAGACGGGUGAUUUCUGCAUUUCCAUCUGAGCAGGCUUUUCUUCUUGGAGCUGAAACAGGCGCACUGGCGAGGGUUGUGAGGAAAGGUUUGCAGCCCCCUGCCUUGGUCUGCUAUAGCCAGUGACACGAUCAAUACCAGGGUGAGCAGCAGAGGAAGCUCAGGGAAGAUUAUGAAGAUGAGGUCUUCUUUGAUAACAUGUCAAGGAGUUACAUUUGACAUAGCCCUGUUAUUUUUACCACAGGAAUUUGCCUGAGUUCUGAUCAAUGCUAAAAACACCAUUUAACAGUGCCCUUUCCUGCCUGGGAAGCCCACAAAGAUUUCGCUUUUCACUUAUUACUCAUCAAACUGACUCUGGUUCACAGUGGAAAAGAGAAGAAAAGCUGAUGGAGAAAUGGCAGUGAAGAAGGAGAACAAAAUGUCAGAGCAAUACUUUUGAGCGACUAUAUCCUUUUCAUUAAAGUCAGUCUAUAGACGUGAAGCCAACAGGGACCCUCAGGCCUGUGCAUCAGGAUGGUGGGCUGCCUAAGUCCUCUGGGGACAGCAGUGCCAGAAGGAGUAUUGGACACAGUGACCCGACUGUAUGAGAUGAGAAAAAACAAAAACAGGAGGUCCGCAGUACUGAUGAACUAAUCUGUCACUCACAAGCUCAGGUCUGCAAAAAAAAGAAACGAAGCACUAAACAUGGCCAUAAGAGAUGGAAAUGCAAGUCUUCAUUUCUAAAUGAUAAUCAAACCAACGAUCAGAAACUGAUUAACUGUGUAAUUGAAUUGAAUUGAAAAUCAUCCCAUGAAUAACAAUCCAUCCUACCUUCAAGGGGUUAGGAAGCUAACUACAGGUAAUUGCUAUCAGAAAUCUGAUUUGAUUUCCAAAAAUUGUGUGAAUGAACCAAGUUUCUUCAUCUUGAUAUACUAGGCAGGGAGUUUGUUCUUCCAAGUACUAGACUGCUUAAUUGCUUGCUUGGGGGAGGAGAAAUCCUAGGGGAAAGGCAUAUAUGAGCAAUUUCUACUCUGUGAAGCCAGCGCUGUGUCCUGAGCUGGAUCAUGGCCAGAAACAGAAAAGUCUACUCUUCCCUACAGUGGAAGCAACUGUGGAUAUUUCAUCCUAGGAGUGAAUGAAAAAACCUAAAGCUCAUACUUCAUGGGAAUCUUUCAAUAUUCUGACUGAAAACUGGUUAUUUGCUCCUCCAACCCAAAGCCAUCUAGGAACAGCACUCAGAACAGGAAAAAAAAAAGACAAAAAUAAUAAUUAUUCCAAAACGUAUUUGAGCAGAAACAAACACAAACAUUUGCAUUAUUAAAUGGGCUUGUUCACACCUGCUGAGUAGAUAUAAGACGAUAUUUAAGACAAGAGCUAAAAAAUAAACCAUCCCUUUCUGGUUUUGAGUGACAGCAGAGCAAUAAAAAUUAUUUUCACAUUCUUUUCCCUAUUGUUAGAAGUAAUCAUUUGAGUAAAUACACUUAUCUGUGCUGUAACUAUUGAAAUGAAUCCACUUCAAAUAUGUAUACCACCUUUCUUUUUUAUAUUUCUAGAUAUGGUUUCAAUAUAGACUUUCUGACUUUUAUGGUAUA